AGUACGCUAUAGAGUUUGAUCAUGGCUCAGGACGAACGCUGGCGGCGUGGAUUAGGCAUGCAAGUCGCGCGACGGGCCUUCGGGCUACGGAGCGGCGAACGGGUGAGUAACACGUGAACAAUCUGUCCCUUCAUUCCGGAUAAUUGGCCGAAAGGCCUUGUAAUACGGGCGAGGGUCCCCGGGAGGCAUCUCCUGGGAAGGAAGGCGCAAGCCGUGCAGGGAGGAGUUCGCGGAUUAUCAGCUUGUUGGUGGGGUAAUGGCCUACCAAGGCGACGACGAUUAGCUGGUCUGAGAGGAUGGUCAGCCACAUUGGAACUGGGAUACUGUCCAGACUCCUACGGGAGGCUGCAGUCGAGAAUCUUGGGCAAUGCACGAAAGUGUGACCCAGCGACGCCGCGUGAAGGAUGAAGGACCUCUGGUUCGUAAACUUCUUUUAGGGGAGAAGAAU
rnacentral:rRNA from 1 species